GACGAACGCUGGCGGCGUGCUUAACACAUGCAAGUCGAACGAUGAAGCCUAGCUUGCUGGGUGGAUUAGUGGCGAACGGGUGAGUAACACGUGAGUAACCUGCCCUGGACUCUGGGAUAAGCGUUGGAAACGACGUCUAAUACCGGAUAGGACCUUGCACCGCAUGGUGUGGGGUGGAAAGUUUUUCGGUUUGGGAUGGACUCGCGGCCUAUCAGCUUGUUGGUGAGGUAAUGGCUUACCAAGGCGUCGACGGGUAGCCGGCCUGAGAGGGUGACCGGCCACACUGGGACUGAGACACGGCCCAGACUCCUACGGGAGGCAGCAGUGGGGAAGAUUGCACAAUGGGCGCAAGCCUGAUGCAGCAACGCCGCGGGCGGGAUGACGGCCUUCGGGUUGUAAACCGCUUUUGUCCAGGAAGAAGCCUCUUGGGGUGACGGUACUGGGAGAAAAAGGACCGGCUAACUACGUGCCAGCCGCCGCCGUAAUAC
rnacentral:rRNA from 1 species